AAUCAACGCUGGCGGCGUGCCUAACACAUGCAAGUCGAACGCGAAAGUGGAGCAAUCCAUGAGUAGAGUGGCAAACGGGUGAGUAACACGUGGGUGACCUGCCUUAGAGUGGGGGAUAACGUCCCGAAAGGGACGCUAAUACCGCAUAACAUGCUGCCUUUUAAGAGGUGGACAUCAAAGCCGGGGACCGCAAGGCCUGGCGCUUAAAGAGGGGCCCGCGCCUGAUUAGCUAGUUGGUGGGGUAAUGGCUCACCAAGGCAACGAUCAGUAUCCGGCCUGAGAGGGCGGACGGACACACUGGGACUGAGACACGGCCCAGACUCCUACGGGAGGCAGCAGUGGGGAAUUGUUCGCAAUGGGCGCAAGCCUGACGACGCAACGCCGCGUGGAGGAUGAAGAUCUUCGGGUUGUAAACUCCUUUCGAUCGAGACGAAUGGCCCUUGGGCUAACAUCCUGAGGGAGUGACGGUACCGAGAGAAGAAGCCCCGGCUAACUCCGUGCCAGCAGCCGCGGUAA
rnacentral:rRNA from 1 species